GAAAUAGAAAAUUUUAGGGAGAAGCACAAGGAAGAUGAGCCACUUCAGCAGCUGCAGCAAUCUCAUGAUGAAGUUCAUUUCCAUCUUCAUCAUCUUGCUUCAUUUGUCAAUGGCUAAUGGAUACAAGAAUAUUAUUAAACCAAAUUACGAGUUGUUCAGCAGAAAGGAACUCGCGAGAUUGGCUGGUUAUGGAGAGGAUAAGCUUUCUACUGUUCUAAUCACAGGAACUGUUCUUUGCAAGGCUUGUUUGCAUGGCGAAACUCUGCUUCGAACAUGGCCAGUUUCAGGUGCUUUGG
rnacentral:misc_RNA from 1 species